UAAUGCGCUUAUAACCGUUGAGAAUUGAUACCGAAAAUGACUUCUUAAUUAGGAAUAAAAUAAGACACCCCAUCCAUAAGAAGAUAUAAUUCGCAAUCAAUAUAUCACGUUGAUCGCGUGGGUGUUUAAGAAAUAGAAAAAAAAAAGCAAACGGCGCCUUGGAUGACAAUGGACACUAACAAGCGUUUCAUGAUGGAUCGAGCAGAUUUCUACGUCCACCAUCGGCACGCGCCAAUCAUCCCGGUACAAAGACCCAACCGGAAGUCCAAUGACGUAGCCACAGUUCCGGAUACCAGUAAACAAGACUGGCGCUGAAAAUAAAUGAAGAGUCCACGUCUAUGUGGGGAUACCGGGAUACAAAGAACGUGGGAUAAAGGCUUCAGGAACUUUUCCUAGACUACGAUCACAAUGUGGACUCGUACAUCAUCCACGCAGCAUCCGAAAUAAAAAUUGUACGGGAUCAAUGGGGACCACUCGUGGAGUGUGUUUCCGCGAAGUCACGAGAUUCGCUCGCAGUCUGCGGGGAUCGGAAAAUGGCUGAGUGACGGAGCAACGAAACGAAGCGACAAGGAAGGAACGUUUAUUUUGCAAAUCAUUCAGUCUCGGCACGCGCCCCCGAAAACCGUCACAGGACCCAUAAUGCCUUUUCAAUGGACACUCGAACCGUAUUAAAUGAUCUUUCAUGGCGGACCGAUGUCCCAAGAUAGAUACCUAACCUAUAAGCUAUAACCAAUGCUGCCUCCAGCACACCUUUUCUCCUGCAUUGCGCGUAAUUCUAUACGGGGCUCGACAUAUGGGAGGAUUGGUUGCGUUAUUCGAAAAUUUUUAUACCCCAUUCAUUUAUUCAUUCCCAUGAUCCGCAAAUUUCUGAGCAUCCCUUAGUCUUGCGGGCUUUUAUUAUUUAUAGGCAUUUAUAUGAGGUUGUACAGGAUUAAUGUACCGGGUGAAAUUAACUUAUUCAUUCGAUCCUUACGUUUGUUAAUGAUCACCCUUUAUUGUCAAUAUUCAAUAAUAUACAGAUCAAUAAUUGAUCUCUGAUCGAUAUCGUCACAAAAAGUAUGUUAUAUACUACAUGUAAUUUUGGUGUAAUGUAUAUAUAUUUAAGGGGCGAGUAACAGUACGGGGUGUAAUGAGAAAAAAAAAAAGGUGUAUGGGGUUUUCCUGAGGGGCACGUAGAAUCCGGCAUAAUCUAUCGAUGAAUUAAAAGGUUUAUAAAAGGGUCUUGUCAAACGGCAAUCAUCCCCUAUUAUGUAACGCCACCCCUAAUACCAAAGCCGUUCCUCACUGACUCGUGUGAACUCCACGUAGCAAGAUAGGAAGAUAGUGGAUGCUACGUGGAAAAAGUAAUACAAAGUGAAUGGUAAACUGAUCGGUCAUGUCAUGCCUUAUUGGUCCGUCAAACCGCCCACAUAUAAACCAUCAUAAUUAUUAAUGCACUCGUUCCCAUGAAAAAUUCACUUCGUCCCAUGAAAUUCCAAGUCCACGAAUUUUUCGAAAACAAAUUUUUCAAAUUUCAAUUUUUUAAACAUUCAAUCCGUUCGUAUACUCUCCCACGAGAAACUAAAAAAAUGUCAACCAAACAACCCUAUACCACUUGCACCCCGCUGCGUAUAAGGAUAGCCUUUAGGUCGUUUCACUAGGGGGGUGUAGAGAAGAACUCUUAUCACGGUAUCAGCGUUUAACGAUGUGGUGCCGUGACCGUAGCCACCUGGUGGUCAUAGACCACGUGCGGAGCCUGAUGGUCACGUGUCCACCAUAGAAUCCCCCCCUAAAAACGUCCCUUA